rnacentral:sRNA from 1 species
ACCAUAGCCCUGGGGCAAGGUUCUCUACUGAUCCCCAGAGCAGCUGUAGCAUAGGCAGCAGCAGGGCAAGCUUUCCCCAUAUGCGGCUCUGCAAAUACGCCCUGGAAGGACCCCCACUCUAGGGCUCGAGGGGAGCUCAGUCCCCACAAGCUGGUCCACCCUGGGGAGGU